AAUUUAAAAAUCGGGAAACUUAAUCUGAAGCAGCCCUGCUAACGUCUGUAAUAGCCGGAGGAUUAGAUAGGGAGUCAACUAACCCACUACUACUACUGCUACUCCCUCCCUCGUCCAGGACAUCCUGUCUGAUCCUGUAUGGAAAUGACUAUUUAUUGUGGCUCCCCACAGAAGCAAGUCUGUUCUACCCACAAGUAUAGCACUGGCGAGGUUAUCUCUCUCGAUCAUGCAGCAAGUUCUGCCUCGGGGUCAAGAGAUCGUUUGAUAUAUUACUGGGCGUUUUCAUCUUGGUCUAGACAAACACACAAGUAAUCAUGCCAGAGGUGCUCUACAAAAUCGGUUCUAAGCAGGGAUUAUAGCCAUACGUGUCAAAUUUCAACGGUCGUUUCGAGAGGUUCUGGUGGAAGGAUAGCGACAAAGCUGGACAGCGAGUCACACAACAAUGUCACAAAACUGAUACAAGAAUAUAAAUUUUAAAUCUUAUUUGCAAAUAGAUUUUUAAAAUCACCGAUCCACCUAGAUAAAACGGUUAACUCUUAGUCUAUAGAAAUUGUAAUUGAAGAUUUUUUAUCUCACAGAUUCGACAUUAUAUUUAUUUAUAUCUUCCAACAGACUUACAGCGAUAAAAGAUAAGUCAUCUAAUUGACUUAACAAGUCUAGCAUCUGUCAACUAAGACUAAGCGACCUUGUAAUAAAUAGCACAUAAAAAGAGAGAUAUAGAGAUUGACCGUUAAGAUUUAAAAUCAUUUAAAGCUAAGUUCUACUGAAGUACGAGCGGUAAAUUUGAAGAAAUAAUUUCAAAGCAAGACAACUUAGACAACAGCUUCGAAGCAUACUUUCUUACGAGUUAUAAAGACUGUGACGCUAUUCCAAACUUCAGUUACUAUAAAUCAACCAUCGCCAAAAUACUUGAACUCUAGGCACAGUUAACAAGAUUAAAAAAACCGUUCAAUAUGAAGACCACUGUAGCAAUACUGUCCCUAUUCUGCCUGAUUUCGCUUUGCGAGUGUUACACCUCUCUACGUCCAGGGAACUGUAAUCUAUGCUAUAAAAGAUGCAAAGCGAGGGCUGCUGAUGGUUGCUUCUAUAGAUGUAGUAAUCGAGCCUCUCAUGAGAUGAUAUCUUUGUGUUUGGAAAUGUGUUAUAUGUCAGCCCUGGAUUACUGCAUGAAAACGAUCGUGUGCCGAGUAUAAAGCGUUUUCAUUCACGUGACAAGGCAUCCAUAUUUGUUUACCAGACAAUAGAAACUUUCUGCACAAUUUUUGCAUAAAAAUAGAGUUCAAUUCCACGAGGAUAGAAAAUUGUUUUGGUACACCAUUAUGGCUGCUGUGACGUCACGUGAAGACGCUUUAUACAUGUUUACUAUUGUGACGUAUUUCCAGUUAACCGGGGUCAAGGAUAUCAAUGAAGAAAUCUUUCGUUGACGACAGAAGACAUAUUUUGUCAGUUACGUUGUCGGGAUACUUGUCCCUUCAGUGCCAAUUUGUCGAGCUGCGACGUGCAAGAUGAAUCAAUCGAAAAUUGUUUUCCCUGAAGGAAAAUAUUAUAAACGUUUUCACCGAGCGUCAUCCCGCUUUUAUACCGGAAAUGACGUUUAACUUUGGUUGGCCUGUCUUAGUUAAAGGGAACCGGAUAUACGUCACAUGAUAUAAAUAAUGAUUUGUAUAUAUAUGAAUGAAGUGCAUAUGUAUUCUUAGAACGACUGAAGAAUAUGGUUUUGAAUUCAUUAGCACUGGGCUUCCAGUUAAUCAUUAUAGAUAGAAUUUGUGGUUUUGAAGUAGAUUACUGUAAUUUGUAUUGAAAAAAAAGUAUUAAAAAAGUUCCA